GCAUGAAGUGUAUUUUAAGCCACCGUUUGCUGUUUUGGAGCAAGAUAACAUAUGCUGAGAUUUCUGCUGAAAUGAAAAGGUUUCUGAAUCUGAAAUAAAAUAUGAUGGAUGUGAAUGAAAGGACUUCUGUUCCUCCUUAUGGAAAGGAAGUGAAGGUUUUCAGUUCUCCAAAUUGUUACCUUUCCGAAACAGAGUGUUUUCUCACUGUUUCCAGCAGCAGUUUCUCAAGCAAAACACCUGCAUUCUCAGCUAAACCCAGAGAAAACACUCUCAGGAGCCAAAUGCCAUCUCUAAUCUUAGAAAACAGUCCCUAAAGGAAGAGAAUUUGGAAUGCUGAUCAGGCAGGCUUCUGAUGACUCCCUCUUACUUGAAAGCCUCAAAUCACUGAAUGACGUUUUUCUCCUUUAUCCUUCAGGAAAUCAAGUCCCUUUCUAAAGGAAACGCAGAAGGUCAGCAGCAGAGCCUAAAAUACAAACUCCUAACUCCAAACCUCAGCUUUCCACAAAUCUUACGACUGUCAGGCCACCAGCCCCUCCUUCCUCCCUGGAAACGAUUAUGCUUCAUUAUUGGUUAUUAUUGGUGUCGGAGAAGACUUUUGAGAGUCCCUUGGACUGCAAGGAGAUCAAAUCAGUCAAUCUUAAAGGAAAUCAAUCCGGAAUAUUCAUUGGAAGGACUGAUGUUGAAGCUGAAGCUCCAAUACUUUGGCCACCUGAUGCAAUGAUCUGACUCAUUAGAAAAGACCCUGAUUCUAGGAAAGACUGAAGGCAGGAGGAGAAGCAGAUGACAGAGGACGAGAUGGUUGGAUGACAUCACCGAUUCAAUGGACAUGAGUUUGAGCAAGCUCCGGGAGAUGGUGAAGGACAGGCAAGCCUGGAGUGCUGCAGCCCAUGGGGUUGCAAAGAGUCAGACAGGACUGAGUGACUGAGCAACAACAAUUGGUUAUUACAAGACACUGAAUAUAGUUCCCUGUGCUAUACAGAAGGUCCUUCUUGUUUAUCUUUUUUAUAUAUAGGAGUGUGUAUCUGUUAAUCCCAAACUCGUAACUGACCCCUCAUUUUUGACACACACACAGGCAGCUCUCUAGCUUAGGCCUUGUUUGUGGUCCCAACAACCCCAUAUGUCCUUUGCCCUCAUCACGACCCUCAGCACCAACAACAAAUAUUCUGAGGCUAUUUAAGAGCACUUGUUUGUAUCCUGUUGGGCACAAGAACCACUAAGCUAGAGCACCACUUUCUUCCAUUCCUACAGCUCUGCAAGUCUGCUCUGGAAGCCACAGAGCUCAGAUUUCACCUUACUUCCUCCGCGUCUCUUCCAUUCACAGCUCAACUUUCUCUACAACCUGAGAAAUGCCCGCCCCCCACCCCCCACCCCAGAUCCAUCUGCAAGGACCUCCCUCUUGUACUGAGCUGCCAUUUCUGCCAGAGAUUCUGUAAUACGUCUGGAGGGGAAGUUCUGACCCUGAGGUGUCAGCAUUAUUACCAUCUGGGCGGCUACAAGCAGCUGCAGACAGACAGACAAUUACCUUGGCACUCAGGCCUGGCAGGCAGGGACUUUAUGGGAAGAAAAGCCGAAGCCGGGUUUUUCCUCCUCAUGAAGACUCGCUGAAGGUGUUUUACUUUCCAGUGAAAACUGGAGACUUGGAUGAAGUGACUCGAGGGCACGACCUCAAUCACACCACAGUAAUGAGGUGUUUUUGGCGUGGUGUCAGCUCCACCACAGACAUAAACCCACCUUCCAAAGAGAGAGAGUCCAAGGCGCUGGGGGCACUUGCUGAACCUCUCUGCUCACCUUUCCCAUUUCCAAGGACGAGUCCACUGGGCCUUUGCAAAGUACUGCUCAGGAAUUCCUGAUAAGUUCAUCUGCCUCCAAAUGACCAACUCCAUGACUGAAAUAUGAUAGUGAUUUCAAUCAUUGCUUUUGCUCCUCCCUGGAGAAAACUCUGCAUUCAAACUAAGUGUUUUUACAUAAUCAACUAGCUUGUCUGACAAGCAGAGCCAAAUGUCAUUCUCUUGAGCUUCAAACUGCUUUAGCUCAACUGAGAGUAAAUGAGUUUUCACAUGUCAUGCAGGCAGGAACAGUUACAUUCAAUAAAUACAAGUAAAUAAAGCA
rnacentral:lncRNA from 1 species